GACGAACGCUGGCGGCAUGCCUAACACAUGCAAGUCGAACGAAACCUUCUGGUUUAGUGGCUCACGGGUGCGUAACGCGUUGGAACCUGCGCUUAGGUUACGAAUAACUCCUCGCCAGGGGUUCUAAAUCCGGCUAAUGUCUUCGGACCAAAGCUUUAUCGCCUUUGAGUGUGCUGGCGUUGGAAUAGCUCGUUGGUAGGGUAAAAGCCUACCAGGGCGAGGAUCAUUAGCUGGUCUGAGAGGUUGAUCAGCCACACUGGGACUGAGAGACGGCAGCGGCUCCGACGGGAGGACGCAGUGGGGAAUAUUGGACAAGGGGCGCAAGGCUGAUCAUGCCAUGCCGCGUGAUGGAUGAAGGCCUUAGGGUUGUGAAGCUCUCUUAGCCGGGAUGAUAAUGACGGUACCGGGAGAAUAAGCACCGGCUAACUACGUG
rnacentral:rRNA from 1 species